AGUAAGAAAAGUUUAAAGACCCUCUUUUUUCAUUCGAUGGGGUGUUCUUAUGGUGUGUAGGGGUGCCAUAUGAUUAGUUUUCAUGAAGAAAAAUGUGAAAGGAAGAACUUAUUUUUCUGCAAAAUCUAAGAUCUUGAAACCUUAGGUUUGUUGUAUAUGAUACAAAGUUGUAUGAAAAAUAAAAUAUCUAAUCUAUAUGAUUAAAAUUAUUUUAAUCAUAAAAAAAUAAAAUCUCAAAUCAUAAAAAGUUUUAGAUAUGAUCUAAAAUAUGUUUA
rnacentral:lncRNA from 1 species